GGCUGGCCAGAAGGUCGUGAGAUAUCUCACUUGAUUAUUCACGGUUGGUUACAGAUUGAACUCCUUGUUCCAUUCUCCCCUCACCACUCCUCUACUGCAUUUGACUAGUCCUUU
ensembl:misc_RNA Y_RNA Y RNA